AACUUCAUAUGGCAAGGCGACAAUUCCGAGAAUGCGACCGGAGGGCAUUCCCUGGUAAACUGGAAGACGGUGUGCAGGCCAAAGGCCCUAGGUGGGCUGGGAAUCACAGACCUAGAGAGAUUUGGUCGGGCUCUCCGCUUACGCUGGCCAUGGCUAAUGUGGGCCGACCCUGACCGUCAGUGGGUGGGCUCUGCCCUACCCUGCGACGACUCGGAUAUGGCGCUAUUCAGAGCUUCGACCUCCAUCGUGCUGGGUAACGGCCGCAAAGCUCUGUUCUGGCAUGAUGACUGGACCGGAAAGGGUCCCCUUAGGAUGCUGGCUCCCGGAUUAUACAAAAUCGCCACAAGAAAGCAGAGAACAGUGUCCAAGGAGCUGCACGAGGAUAACUGGAUCAGAUCAGUCGCCCGCCUUCAGUCUCCCAUACACCUGCAGGAAUUCAUCUCGAUAGCAUCUCUGACCUCCCAGGUUACACUGUCUACGGACAGGGAGGACUCCAUCUCCUGGCGUUGGACUACAAAUGGAAUCUACUCCGCGGCUUCGGCAUAUACAGCCCAAUUCUCUGGCUCCUUCCCUAGGUUCUCGCCGACGAAGAUUUGGGAGGCACACGCGGAACCCAAAUGCAAGCUCUUUUCCUGGCUGGUGCUCCAUGAAAGAUCCUCACGGCCGACAUGCUCGCUAUUCGCGGAUGGCCGCACGAUCCUACAUGCCCGCUGUGUCUGGGAGCACCGGAGACGGCAACUCACCUCUGCAAGGACUGCCCAUUUGCGAUUGCGGUUUGGUCGCAUGUUCAGGCAUGGA
rnacentral:rRNA from 1 species